UUUAAAGAUUGGCGAUCCGUUGGAUACCGACCGAGUUAUAGCCAAAACUUGGCGCAAAAAUGAGGAAAAUUUUACAUUUUCUCAAACAGGGUAUGGAACUUGGCUUCUCAGAUAACUUCUAGCAUAGACAUCUGAGGGCAUGUCCGUCUAAGAAGAAAAUGUAGCCAUUGGUGCCAUCUAUCGACCACAGGUUAAAGAUUGGCGAUCCGUUGGAUACCGACCGAGUUAUAGCCAAAACUUGGUGCAAAAAUGAGCCUUAGUAAAUUUUUAUUUUUUUGAAUUUUUUGAUUUUUUUAUUAUUUUUGACUCUUUUUUUUAUUUAAAGCAUUACUUGAGUGAAAAGAAACACAUUGCAACCAAUUGGCAUUAAAAUAAAUCAAUUUAAUUUUUUUCCAAAUUUUCUCAAAAAAAUGGCAAGGGGUACCCCUUAUGAAAUUUUCGAGUUGAAAAUUUUUAAAAAUUUUUUUUCUGAUUUUUUAUUCUUUUUUUAAUUUGAAGCAUUAUUUGAGUGAAAAGAAACUUAUUGCAACAAAUUCGCAUUCAAAUAUAUCACAUUUAAAAAUUUUGCUACAUUGCUCAAAAAUGAGGAAAAUUUUACAUUUUCUCAAACAGGGUAAGGAACUUGGUUUCUCAGAUAACUUCUAGCAUAGACAUCUGAGGGCAUGGCCGUCCAAGAAGAAAAUGUAGCCAUUAGUACCAUCUAUCGACCACAGGUUAAAGAUUGGCGAUCCGUUGGAUACCGACCGAGUUAUAGCCAAAACUUGGCGCAAAAAUGAGGAAAAUUUUACAUUUUCUCAAACAGGGUAUGGAACUUGGCUUCUCAGAUAACUUCUAGCAUAGACAUCUGAGGGCAUGUCCGUCCAAGAAGAAAAUGUAGCCAUUGGUGCCAUCUAUUGACCACAGGUUAAAGAUUGGCGAUCCGUUGGAUACCGACCGAGUUAUAGCCAAAACUUGGUGCAAAAAUGAGCCUUAGUAAAUUUUUAUUUUUUUUGAAUUUUUUGAUUUUUUUAUUAUUUUUGACUCUUUUUUUUAUUUAAAGCAUUACUUGAGUGAAAAGAAACACAUUGCAACCAAUUGGCAUUAAAAUAAAUCAAUUUAAUUUUUUUCCAAAUUUUCUCAAAAAAAUGGCAAGGGGUACCCCUUAUGAAAUUUUCGAGUUGAAAAUUUUUAAAAAUUUUUUUUCUGAUUUUUUAUUCUUUUUUUAAUUUGAAGCAUUAUUUGAGUGAAAAGAAACUUAUUGCAACAAAUUCGCAUUCAAAUAUAUCACAUUUAAAAAUUUUGCUACAUUGCUCAAAAAUGAGGAAAAUUUUACAUUUUCUCAAACAGGGUAAGGAACUUGGUUUCUCAGAUAACUUCUAGCAUAGACAUCUGAGGGCAUGGCCGUCCAAGAAAAAAAUGUAGCCAUUAGUACCAUCUAUUGACCACAUUUUAAAGAUUGGCGAUCCGUUGGAUACCGACCGAGUUAUAGCCAAAACUUGGCGCAAAAAUGAGGAAAAUUUUACAUUUUCUCAAACAGGGUAUGUAACUUGGCUUCUCAGAUAACUUCUAGCAUAGACAUCUGAGGGCAUGUCCGUCCAAGAAGAAAAUGUAGCCAUUGGUGCCAUCUAUCGACCACAGGUUAAAGAUUGGCGAUCCGUUGGAUACCGACCGAGUUAUAGCCAAAACUUGGUGCAAAAAUGAGCCUUAGUAAAUUUUUAUUUUUUUGAAUUUUUUGAUUUUUUUAUUAUUUUUGACUCUUUUUUUUAUUUAAAGCAUUACUUGAGUGAAAAGAAACACAUUGCAACCAAUUGGCAUUAAAAUAAAUCAAUUUAAUUUUUUUCCAAAUUUUCUCAAAAAAAUGGCAAGGGGUACCCCUUAUGAAAUUUUCGAGUUGAAAAUUUUUAAAAAAUUUUUUUCUGAUUUUUUAUUCUUUUUUUAAUUUGAAGCAUUAUUUGAGUGAAAAGAAACUUAUUGCAACAAAUUCGCAUUCAAAUAUAUCACAUUUAAAAAUUUUGCUACAUUGCUCAAAAAUGAGGAAAAUUUUACAUUUUCUCAAACAGGGUAUGGAACUUGGCUUCUCAGAUAACUUCUAGCAUAGACAUCUGAGGGCAUGUCCGUUCAAGAAGAAAAUGUAGCCAUUGGUGCCAUCUAUCGACCACAGGUUAAAGAUUGGCGAUCCGUUGGAUACCGACCGAGUUAUAGCCAAAACUUGGUGCAAAAAUGAGCCUUAGUAAAUUUUUAUUUUUUUUGAAUUUUUUGAUUUUUUUAUUAUUUUUGACUCUUUUUUUUUUAAAGCAUUACUUGAGUGAAAAGAAACACAUUGCAACCAAUUGGCAUGAAAAUAAAUCAAUUUAAUUUUUUUUCCAAAUUUUCUCAAAAAAAUGGCAAGGGGUACCCCUUAUGAAAUUUUCGAGUUGAAAAUUUUUAAAAUUUUUUUUUUCGGAUUUUUUAUUCUUUUUUUAAUUUGAAGCAUUAUUUGAGUGAAAAGAAACUUAUUGCAACAAAUUCGCAUUCAAAUAUAUCACAUUUAAAAAUUUUGCUACAUUGCUCAAAAAUGAGGAAAAUUUUACAUUUUCUCAAACAGGGUAAGGAACUUGGUUUCUCAGAUAACUUCUAGCAUAGACAACUGAGGGCAUGUCCGUCCAAGAAAAAAAUGUAGCCAUUAGUACCAUCUAUUGACCGCAAUUUAAAGAUUGGCGAUCCGUUGGAUACCGACCGAGUUAUAGCCAAAACUUGGCGCAAAAAUGAGGAAAAUUUUACAUUUUCUCAAACAGGGUAUGGAACUUGGCUUCUCAGAUAACUUCUAGCAUAGACAUCUGAGGGCAUGUCCGUCCAAGAAGAAAAUGUAGCCAUUGGUGCCAUCUAUCGACCACAGGUUAAAGAUUGGCGAUCCGUUGGAUACCGACCGAGUUAUAGCCAAAACUUGGUGCAAAAAUGAGCAUUAGUAAAUUUUUAUUUUUUUGAAUUUUUUGAUUUUUUUAUUAUUUUUGACUCUUUUUUUUAUUUAAAGCAUUACUUGAGUGAAAAGAAACACAUUGCAACCAAUUGGCAUUAAAAUAAAUCAAUUUAAUUUUUUUCCAAAUUUUCUCAAAAAAAUGGCAAGGGGUACCCCUUAUGAAAUUUUCGAGUUGAAAAUUUUUAAAAAAAUUUUUUCUGAUUUUUUAUUCUUUUUUUAAUUUGAAGCAUUAUUUGAGUGAAAAGAAACUUAUUGCAACAAAUUCGCAUUCAAAUAUAUCACAUUUAAAAAUUUUGCUACAUUGCUCAAAAAUGAGGAAAAUUUUACAUUUUCUCAAACAGGGUAAGGAACUUGGUUUCUCAGAUAACUUCUAGCAUAGACAUCUGAGGGCAUGGCCGUCCAAGAAGAAAAUGUAGCCAUUAGUACCAUCUAUCGACCACAUUUUAAAGAUUGGCGAUCCGUUGGAUACCGACCGAGUUAUAGCCAAAACUUGGCGCAAAAAUGAGGAAAAUUUUACAUUUUCUCAAACAGGGUAUGGAACUUGGCUUCUCAGAUAACUUCUAGCAUAGACAUCUGAGGGCAUGUCCGUCCAAGAAGAAAAUGUAGCCAUUGAUGCCAUCUAUCGACCACAGGUUAAAGAUUGGCGAUCCAUUGGAUACCGACCGAGUUAUAGCCAAAACUUGGUGCAAAAAUGAGCCUUAGUAAAUUUUAAUUUUUUUUAAUUUUUUGAUUUUUUUAUUAUUUUUGACUCUUUUUUUUAUUUAAAGCAUUACUUGAGUGAAAAGAAACACAUUGCAACCAAUUGGCAUUAAAAUAAAUCAAUUUAAUUUUUUUUCCAAAUUUUCUCAAAAAAAUGGCAAGGGGUACCCCUUAUGAAAUUUUCGAGUUGAAAAUUUUUAAAAAUUUUUUUUCUGAUUUUUUAUUCUUUUUUUAAUUUGAAGCAUUAUUUGAGUGAAAAGAAACUUAUUGCAAUAAAUUCGCAUUCAAAUAUAUCACAUUUAAAAAUUUUGCUACAUUGCUCAAAAAUGAGGAAAAUUUUACAUUUUCUCAAACAGGGUAAGGAACUUGGUUUCUCAGAUAACUUCUAGCAUAGACAUCUGAGGGCAUGGCCGUCCAAGAAGAAAAUGUAGCCAUUAGUACCAUCUAUCGACCACAUUUUAAAGAUUGGCGAUCCGUUGGAUACCGACCGAGUUAUAGCCAAAACUUGGCGCAAAAAUGAGGAAAAUUUUACAUUUUCUCAAACAGGGUAUGGAACUUGGCUUCUCAGAUAACUUCUAGCAUAGACAUCUGAGGGCAUGUCCGUCCAAGAAGAAAAUGUAGCCAUUGAUGCCAUCUAUCGACCACAGGUUGAAGAUUGGCGAUCCGUUGGAUACCGACCGAGUUAUAGCCAAAACUUGGUGCAAAAAUGAAAAAAAGUUUACAUUUUCUCGAACUUGGUUCCUCGAAUAACUUCUGACACAGACAUCUGAGAGCAUGGCCGUCCAAGAAGAAAAUGUAGCCAUUGGUGCCAUCUACCGACCACAGGUUGAAGAUUGGCGAUCCGUUGGAUACCGACCGAGUUAUAGGCAAAACUUGGUGCAAAAAUGAAAAAAAGUUUACAUUUUCUCGAACUUGGUUCCUCGAAUAACUUCUGACACAGACAUCUGAGAGCAUGGCCGUCCAAGAAGAAAAUGUAGCCAUUGGUGCCAUCUACCGACCACAGGUUGAAGAUUGGCGAUCCGUUGGAUACCGACCGAGUUAUAGGCAAAACUUGGUGCAAAAAUGAAAAAAAGUUUACAUUUUCUCGAACUUGGUUCCUCGAAUAACUUCUGACACAGACAUCUGAGAGCAUGGCCGUCCAAGAAGAAAAUGUAGCCAUUGGUGCCAUCUACCGACCACAGGUUGAAGAUUGGCGAUCCGUUGGAUACCGACCGAGUUAUAGGCAAAACUUGGUGCAAAAAUGAAAAAAAGUUUACAUUUUCUCGAACUUGGUUCCUCGAAUAACUUCUGACACAGACAUCUGAGAGCAUGGCCGUCCAAGAAGAAAAUGUAGCCAUUGGUGCCAUCUACCGACCACAGGUUAAAGAUUGGCGAUCCGUUGGAUACCGACCGAGUUAUAGCCAAAACUUGGUGCAAAAAUGAGCCUUAGUAAAUUUUUAUUUUUUUGAAUUUUUUGAUUUUUUUAUUAUUUUUGACUCUUUUUUUUAUUUAAAGCAUUACUUGAGUGAAAAGAAACACAUUGCAACCAAUUGGCAUUAAAAUAAAUCAAUUUAAUUUUUUUUUCCAAAUUUUCUCAAAAAAAUGGCAAGGGGUACCCCUUAUGAAAUUUUCGAGUUGAAAAUUUUUAAAAAAUUUUUUUCUGAUUUUUUAUUCUUUUUUUAAUUUGAAGCAUUAUUUGAGUGAAAAGAAACUUAUUGCAACAAAUUCGCAUUCAAAUAUAUCACAUUUAAAAAUUUUGCUACAUUGCUCAAAAAUGAGGAAAAUUUUACAUUUUCUCAAACAGGGUAAGGAACUUGGUUUCUCAGAUAACUUCUAGCAUAGACAUCUGAGGGCAUGGCCGUCCAAGAAGAAAAUGUAGCCAUUAGUACCAUCUAUCGACCACAUUUUAAAGAUUGGCGAUCCGUUGGAUACCGACCGAGUUAUAGCCAAAACAUGGCGCAAAAAUGAGGAAAAUUUUACAUUUUCUCAAACAGGGUAUGGAACUUGGCUUCUCAGAUAACUUCUAGCAUAGACAUCUGAGGGCAUGUCCGUCCAAGAAGAAAAUGUAGCCAUUGGUGCCAUCUAUCGACCACAGGUCAAAGAUUGGCGAUCCGUUGGAUACCGACCGAGUUAUAGGCAAAACUUGGUGGAAAAAUGAAGAAAAUUUUACAUUUUCUCGAACAGAGUAUGGAACUUGGUUCCUCGAAUAACUUCUGACACAGACAUCUGAGGGCAUGGCCGUCCAAGAAGAAAAUGUAGCCAUUGGUGCCAUCUAUUGACCGCAAUUUAAAGAUUGGCGAUCCGUUGGAUACCGACUGAGUUAUAGACAAAACUUGGUGCAAAAAUGAAGAAAAGUUUACAUUUUCUCGAACAGAGUAUGGAACUUGGUUCCUCGAAUAACUUCUGGCACAGACAUCUGAGAGCAUGGCCGUCCAAGAAGAAAAUGUAGCCCUUGGUGCCAUCUAUCGACCACCGGUUAAAGAUUGGCGAUCCGUUGGAUAUCGACCGAGUUAUAGUCAAAACAUGGUGCAAAAAUGAACCUUGGUAAAUUUUUAAAUUUUUGAAUUUUUUGAUUUUUUUAUUAUUUUUCACUCUUUUUUUUAUUUAAAGCAUUACUUGAGUGAAAAGAAACACAUUGCAACCAAUUGGCAUUAAAAUAAAUCAAUUUAAAUUUUUUUGCAAAAUUUCCCAAAAAAAACCUAAGGGGUAAACCUUUGAAAUUUUCGAGUUGAAAAUUUUUUUUAAAUUUUUUUCUGAUUUUUUAUUCUAUUUUUAAUUUAAAGCAUUAUUUGAGUGAAAAGAAACACAUUGUUACAAAUUUGCAUUCAAAUAUAUCACAUUUAAAAAUUUUGCUGAAUUGCUCAAAAAUGAAGAAAAUUUUACAUUUUCUCGAACAGGGUAUGGAACUUGGUUCCACGAAUAACUUCUGACACAGACAUCUGAGGGCAUGGCCGUCCAAGAAGAAAAUGUAGCCAUUGGUGCCAUCUACCGACCACAGGUUAAAGAUUGGCGAUCCGUUGGAUACCGACCGAGUUAUAGGCAAAACUUGGUGCAAAAAUGAAGAAAAGUUUACAUUUUCUCGAACAGGGUAUGGAACUUGGUUCCUCGAAUAACUUCUGACACAGACAUCUGAGGGCAUGGCCGUCCAAGAAGAAAAUGUAGCCCUUGGUGCCAUCUAUCGACCACAGGUUAAAGAUUGGGGAUCCGUUGGAUAUCGACCGAGUUAUAGUCAAAACUUGGUGCAAAAAUGAACCUUGGUAAAUUUUCAAUUUUUUUAGAAUUUUUUGAUUUUUUGAUUAUUUUUCACUCUUUUUUUUAUUUAAAGCAUUACUUGAGUGAAAAGAAACACAUUGCAACCAAUUGGCAUUAAAAUAAAUCAAUUUAAUUUUUUUUGCAAAAUUUCCCAAAAAAAAC